AUUGAACGCUGGCGGCAGGCUUAACACAUGCAAGUCGAGCGAGCGGCGGACGGGUGAGUAAUGUCUGGGAAACUGCCUGAUGGAGGGGGAUCACUACUGGAAACGGUUACUAAUACCGCAUACCUUCAGAUGGGCCCAGAUGGGAGUAGCUAGGAGGUGGGGUAAUGGCUCACCAAGGCGACGAUCCCUAGCUGGUCUGAGAGGAUGAACAGCCACACUGGAACUGAUACACGGUCCAGACUCCUACGGGAGGCAGCAGUGGGGAAUAUUGCACAAUGGGCGAAAGCCUGAUGCAGCCAUGCCGCGUGUGUGAAGAAGGCCUUCGGGUUGUAAAGCACUUUCAGCGAGGAGGCGUUACUCGCAGAAGAAGCACCGGCUAACUCCGUGCCAGCAGCCGCGGUAAUAC
rnacentral:rRNA from 1 species